UUGGGUGACGAGCGGCGGACGGGUGAGUAAUGUCUGGGAAACUGCCUGAUGGAGGGGGAUAACUACUGGAAACGGUAGCUAAUACCGCAUAACGUCGCAAGACCAAAGAGGGGGACCUUCGGGCCUCUUGCCAUCAGAUGUGCCCAGAUGGGAUUAGCUAGUAGGUGGGGUAACGGCUCACCUAGGCGACGAUCCCUAGCUGGUCUGAGAGGAUGACCAGCCACACUGGAACUGAGACACGGUCCAGACUCCUACGGGAGGCAGCAGUGGGGAAUAUUGCACAAUGGGCGCAAGCCUGAUGCAGCCAUGCCGCGUGUAUGAAGAAGGCCUUCGGGUUGUAAAGUACUUUCAGCGGGGAGGAAGGUGCUGAGGUUAAUAACCUCAGCAAUUGACGUUACCCGCAGAAGAAGCACCGGCUAACUCCGUGCCAGCAGCCGCGGUAAUACGGAGGGUGCAAGCGUUAAUCGGAAUUACUGGGCGUAAAGCGCACGCAGGCGGUCUGUCAAGUCGGAUGUGAAAUCCCCGGGCUCAACCUGGGAACUGCAUUCGAAACUGGCAGGCUAGAGUCUUGUAGAGGGGGGUAGAAUUCCAGGUGUAGCGGUGAAAUGCGUAGAGAUCUGGAGGAAUAC
rnacentral:rRNA from 1 species